GGAGAGGUGGCCGAGUGGUCGAAGGCGCAGCACUGGAAAUGCUGUGUAGGGCAACUUACCGUGGGUUCGAAUCCCACCCUCUCCG
rnacentral:tRNA from 1 species